UUAGAGGAAAUUUUAAUUUUCUUUUUUUCAGUUUCAUGCUGAAGUUUUCCAAGCAGCCACGUCCCUGAUUUCUAUCCCUGUGAAACAUCCAUUGUUGUUCUGUGUAAAUCCUCCUUGCUGCUCUGACAGGUCAGGAAAAGAGAGUACAGAGUAAUCACCAAUCUACAAGUUGCUUACACCCACAGCCAGUCAUGGUUAAUAUCCUCUAGUCUUGGGCCAAGGGCGCAAGUGCCCAGGCACUAGAACAGGGUCAAGCUUUAUCCCCAGGAAGAAGUCCUUGCUAUGAAGCUCAUUUAUCAGCAGCUGGCCCUUCCUGCAGUAACCCUCUCUGUGAUGUCUGCAUUGUGGCCCAAGCGAAACACAUGGAGAUUAAAGUCUCUGGUGCUCUCUGCCUCUCAAGGUGAUGGUUUUCUUUCCAAGUGAUGUCUUUAGGCACCAUCCUUUCAUAAUCAAAGCCAGCUCUUCCCUUUGUUCUGCUCUGCUGACACCUCCAAUGUGACUAAUCCAAAAACUAAUCCAGAAACCCUCCCAGUGGGGCGUGGGGGUGGGAAGCACCGGCCUCCCUCUCAGAGACAUCAGAGGGCUUCUGCAAAUUAUAAGCUUGUUAACACUUGGUCAUUGCCUGCUGGAUGCUGGCCCGGCUUCCCUGACAUCUGCAAACAGGAGUGGUUUGGGUUUUGUUGCUUUCUUGCGAGUAUGUUGCUGUGUUAUAACAUGAGGGAUCAAGAGAGGAGUCACCAGGGCAGCAAGUUGCAGGACACACUGACUGCCCUGAAGUUCCUCCUCACUCAUCCUGGGCUACAGUGGGGAAUGACACUGCUGAAGGAUCCUUGUGGAAAAAGCCCUUCCUUUUAAUUCCAUGGGGUUCCUAUCAAACUGCCUUCAUUACUUAUACCUCCACCAGCAUGGCAACAAAUGAGACAAUCAUAAUUCAGCAGGAUCUCAGUGAGCCUUCACACUGACACAAAGCUCCAUGUGCCCCUCCCCAGCCAGACAUGCACCAGGCUGUCACCUCCUCCUCCCUCCAACCAAGAGCAGCCGAAUCUGCAGGUUCAGCAGGGCUAGAAACCUGCCUAGAAGUCUCCUUUGUGACUUCAACUGCCCCGGAAGCCACCAGGCGACAGCAGACAUUUUAAAGGUGCCCAUGGGUUGGAAAAAAAAACAAGAAGUCAACACUGCUGAUCCACUUACUCAUGCAUCUGCCUGACACCUUCAGGACUGCUUGGUAUGUUCACCACAAUGUUUACACUUAAACUCAGGUUUCCCAAUGUUCAGUCCAAUGUACUCUGGUUGCUUCUACAUUUUAUUUUGCAGCUUUCACCAAAGCCACCUUUUUAGGAAUUCAUUUGUAGUCUAUAUGCCUCUUCUUUCCAGUUUGCCUUAUUUAGAGGUAAUAUCAAUACUGAAACCAAAAAUGUUAAAUCUAAUGCUUUGAUUCACACCCAAAAUGUAUAUUAAAUGUCAUUUCAUGCUACACUUACACAAUCUCAUCUAUUAUUUAUAUUUAAUACAAAAAUAUUUUGAAAUGAAACAAUUAUUGAUAGAACCAAAAUUCAGAUUUCCAUACAACUGGCUUGGAAUGGAGACCACACCAGCAGAUGCCUCCAAUCAGGCUACAAAAUCAGCUUGCAGGUAUCUGCCACCCUGCAAAUUUUAAACCAUCUGGAACUGUAACAGCGUAUGAAUUUCUUCUAAUAAUCAAAUGCAUUGUAAUAAACUCAGCGGGUUCCCCUUUUCUUACAUGCUCUCACGAAUAGUGAAUCAGUUUUAUUGCAUUCUCAAUGGCCAUAAUAAAAGUGUCGGCCCAGAAGAUACACUUCUAGGUGUAUUAAUCUUUUCAUAUAUCAGCUGGGAGAUUAUGGCAGACAAUAGUGCAUAAAACUACGUAAAAUAUAUAACAUAAAACUACAAAGCAAUGCUUGUAGUUAGCUUGAAAGGAAUCAGCUGUAUGGAUUUCAUCAAAGACUUAAAUUGGAGGCAAAUGAAGAAAAUAAAAAGGGAUUCCAAAUGCAACAAACAGUACAUAAAAUACAAGGCAAAAACUAAAAUGUAAAUUGCUAGUAGGAAUAUAAACACAAAGCAAGUUUUGUAUCUAAAUAAGCCUGUUCUGCUCUGCAACUGUUUACUCAACUGCUUGCUAUGGCCUUAUGGAAGUAGAGCCAGCAAUAGGUUUCUGAACCCACAUAAAUAAUUGUGUCAGGGACAUGGAGAAACCAUGCCCAUGCCCCAGGCAGGAUUUACAACAGCUCCUUUGUGAACCCCCACAUCGUCUCACAUACGUCUUUGAUAUUCUCCUGGUUCACUAUGUGUUUCUAGGUCAUUUGUACCUAGCCGCUUUAUCAGGCUUUGAAUUCUCUCAGUUGUUCAGCUACAACUGUUAGAUUUCAUAUUUUUGGUCCCUGUUAUAUUGUUUUUGAGCCUACAAGCUAUUUUCAAAAACUUAAGUCUUCAUGAUACUUUGAAUCUUUUUUGUCAACAUUCACACUAAAUGCUCCCUGUUGCCAUUUAAAUCUCCUUACUACUUUUACUAUUACAGUGGG